rnacentral:rRNA from 1 species
AUACGUAGGGGGCGAGCGUUGUCCGGAAUGAUUGGGCGUAAAGGGCGCGUAGGCGGCGCGGUAAGUCUGGAGUGAAAGUCCUGCUUUCAAGGUGGGAAUUGCUUUGGAUACUGCCGCGCUUGAGUGCAGGAGAGGUUAUCGGAAUUCCCGGUGUAGCGGUGAAAUGCGUAGAGAUCGGGAGGAACACCAGUGGCGAAGGCGGGUAACUGGACUGCAACUGACGCUGAGGCGCGAAAGUGUGGGGAGCAAACAGGAUUAGAUACCCUGGUAGUCCACACUGUAAACGAUGAAUGCUAGGUGUAAGAGGUAUCGACCCCUUUUGUGCCGGAGUCAACACAAUAAGCAUUCCGCCUGGGGAGUACGGCCGCUAGGUUGAAACUCAAAGGAAUUGACGGGG